rnacentral:rRNA from 1 species
UACGUAGGGUGCGAGCGUUAAUCGGAAUUACUGGGCGUAAAGCGUGCGCAGGCGGUUCGUUAAGUCAGAUGUGAAAGCCCCGGGCUCAACCUGGGAACUGCAUUUGAAACUGGCGGGCUUGAGUAUGGCAGAGGGGGGUGGAAUUCCGCGUGUAGCAGUGAAAUGCGUAGAGAUGCGGAGGAACACCGAUGGCGAAGGCAGCCCCCUGGGCCAAUACUGACGUUCAGGCACGAAAGCGUGGGGAGCAAACAGG